GACGAACGCUGGCGGCGUGCUUAACACAUGCAAGUCGAACGGAAAGGCCCUGCUUUUGUGGGUUUCUCGAUUGGCGAACGGGUGAGUAACACGUGAGUAACCUGCCCUUGACUUUGGGAUAACUUCAGGAAACUGCGGCUAAUACCGGAUAGGAGCUCCUGCUGCAUGGUGGUGGUUGGAAAGUUUCGGCGGUUGUGGAUGGACUCGCUGCUUAUCAGCUUGUUGGUGUGGUAGUUGCUUACCAGGGCUGUGACGGGUAGCCGGCAUGAGAGGGGGACCGGGGACAAGGGGCCUGCGGGAGGGACCAGAAGCCAACGGGCGGCAGUAGGCGGGAAUCUGGCGGAAUGGGGGGAAGUCUGAUGCAGAAAUGCUGCGAGCGGGAAGCCGGGCUUCGGGGUGAAAACAGACUUGGACGGAGCCGAAGAGGGCGUGACGGUACUGGGUAAAGAAGCAACGGCUAACUACGUG
rnacentral:rRNA from 1 species